CCCCAGACGCGCUUGCUGCUUUCGCCGUCACCGCGUUGUUCGCUUGAUUUCGGGCACAAGUUCGCCCAUUAAACUCUCUUUACGUCUAACGCCGACGCAGUGUCCCUUCCUGUCUGCCUGCGUGCCAGGUAGGUCACCGUCACCUACGUGACAAUAUGUUCGUUUACGUGUUUACUUUGUGAAUAUGUUCGCAUACUGGGGAACAGCUUGCUACGCAUGCAUAUAGUGUUUAGAGCUUCGGAGGAGUCUUGCUCAAACACUCGCGGAAUACAAUGCCUAAUGGUGCUGCCGUUGACAUUGACGAAUUGUUAAGACUCGGCAGAAACUUACGUGAUGUGAGCGUGGGUGUAGUGAAGUGAGGUGGAGUGCAGUGAGGUGUGAAGGAAGAAACGGCGAAGUGAAGUUAUAUGUGACGGCGAAGUGAAGUUAUAUGUGAUGUAGUGCAGUGAAGUGAAGUGCAGUGAUGUGUGAACGAAGAAGUGGCGAAGUGAAGUUAUAUGUGGUGUGGUGAAGUGGAAGUGCAGUGUCCGUGUAAACCCAAGAGGUGACGAGCAGUGAGUGAAGUUUUCGCGGAGCGAGAACUCGGAAAAUAGGGGGGCCAUUGUCAGGAGUGACAAGCGCCAACAAAGAAGGAAGACGAGUAAGAAGGAGUGAAGCGAGCGCGUGGAGCCGCCAUCUUGGAGAAGGGGCGCGCGCAGGGAAGGACGUGGUGGCCGGGCGCAGCGUUCCAGGAGAAGACGGCCGGAGAUUGCCUCUGUGGAUCCUGCCCCAGUUCCUAGGCGACACAUCGACGUCCCGCCCGAGUACCAGGCUCGGCGAGCAGAUGUCUGACGUCGCCGGAACUGCCGCUGGCCCGGACCUACCUGCCAGGACACGUCAGCGUUUGUGCCGCUGAACGUAGGCGCGCGGAGGCUGGCUACUGCCAGUCACCGUCCCUAAUAGAGAACUAAGCUGGGCCGGCGCGCACCGGGAGGGCCAGCCGGCACGAGCCCCGCUCUGCCGGAUUGCGACAGCUCCUCAGCGACCGUGCCUUCCUCACGUCGGCCGGGGCAUCGGUGACGCCGGACACCAACAACGACUGAAGACGACCAGAUUACAACGCUGGACCACAGACCGGGGGACGCCUAUACCCGCCUCAAACAGAACCGAUUCGGCUUUCCGAGACUCCAGAAGGACGUGGAGGACGGUCAGCCUCUCCCCGCAUCUACCAUAGGUUGAAGGCUCGUUUCCCAUACAUUUACCCUCGUUGAGUUCCCAGAUGUCUUUCUGCCCACUUAAGAAGAUUGAGGACUGGACGCUGCUCUUACUAAAUGUGUUCUUGUUAGGGCACAUUCUCGACCUCAAGUUUGUUAACAACUUGAGAGCACACGAAGAAGAUGUGGGAGUCAGCUUGCGCACAAAAUUCAAGAACCAAUGUCAAGAGCUAAAAUGGAGGGCGUUUUACACCCAUUUAAUAUUGACAUUCCUUCCGGCUCUUGACACAAAGCGGUACCUGGCAGCACACGGCGGCAUUGUCGCAGCGCAUUGCCUGUUUUCACAUGACUUUGAUCAAAAAACGAAGCAACUGUUGGUCGCCGUUUUUACGCAUGAAUCAUUGGUGGUUCAAACCAUGGAGAAAAUUUAUUUUACCUCUCACACGCUGCAACUUAUCAUUGGAAUCACAGGGUUGGUCAAAGAAGCGCUCGCUUGCUGCACAAGUGGGCAACUUUGGUCGUCUGUUGCAAUAACAGUGUUGAGUGACGUGUUUGCCCUUGCAGAGUUGGCGCUGGCGGCAAUAAGACCAUUGUCGGAUAUUACUCUUCUUUAUUUUACCAAUUGAAUUAGAAACAGGAGCAAAAGGCUACAAAGACCUGACAAAUGGCCCCCGCUCCUGUUGGCAUUCAACACUGUGGUACAUGAAAUACAUUGGUGACAUCAGAAGCAAUGCUAAACAGAAUAAAUGAGCUAGGCCUAGGCCAGCGAAUAUAUAGUUA